AGGUGGCGCGGCUAUCGGUACGUAAGCUAUCAAAUUUGGUAGCUGUUUUCCGGGCAGGACAACGUCUGCCGGGUCCGCUAGUUUAUAAUAAGACGAGAUUAAAAACAAAAGAGGAAACCAAGCACCUGUGGCAUAAAAAAGAAAAUGGCAAAGGCAAAUGGCAUUACAACUGUACGAGGAUGUAACAUCAUUCAAAGACUUUCAUGAAUUUUCCCCUUUCCAAAAAAAAAAAAAAUAAUUAUCAAAAUCGGUACAUCCAGUAGAAAGUUAUUGCGAAUUUUCGAGAGUUUCCCUCGAUUUCUCUGGG
rnacentral:misc_RNA from 1 species